AGCGAACGCUGGCGGCAGGCUUAACACAUGCAAGUCGAGCGCCCCGCACGGGGAGCGGCAGACGGGAGAGUAGCACGUGGGGACAUACACUUUUGUUUGACACAACUGAGGGAAACUUCAGCCAAUACCGGAUAAGCCCUAACGGGGGAAGAUUUAUCGCCGUAAGAUUGGCCCGCGUCUGAUUAGCUAGUGGGGGAGGUAACGGCUCACCACGGCGACGAGCAGUAGCUGGACUGAGAGGAUGAUCAGCCUCACUGGGACUGGGACACGGCCCAGACCCCUACGAGAGGCAGCAGUGGGGAAUAUUGGACAAUGGGGGCAACCCUGAUCCAGCCAGGCCGCGUGAGUGAUGAAGGCCUUAGGGUUGUAAAGCUCUUUUGCCCGGGAAGACAAUGACGGUACCGGGAGAAUAAGCCCCGGCUAACUUCGU
rnacentral:rRNA from 1 species